UGGACCUGAUAUCAGGCAAGAAAGGCGCAGCUGAACUUAA
rnacentral:rRNA from 1 species